CAUUCCUUUUAUUUCUUUAUUUUGUCGAAUAUUCCUGGUUAACAUUUCCAAAGUCAGUAUAAAUAGCAGCGGCAACAUUGGCUAUCCCUGUCUAGUGCCUUUUUUAAAUAUCAAGGUUCUCUGUCAUGUCCCCAUUUAUCAUCUCCUUAGUUGAUUUUUUAUUAUAUAUUGCUUUAGUCAUAUUAAUACAUCUCUCUCCAAAGUCCAUAUUUUUUAGUUGUAAUAACAUAAAUUUCCAAUUAAUGUUGUCAAAUGCUUUCUGGGCAUCUAGAAACAUUAACCCCAUUUGUUUUCAGGGCGCAUUAUAUAAUACUCCAAUGUGUUUAAAAUCAUUCUCAUAUUGUUUUUAAUCUGUCCCUUUAGCAGAAAUCCAUUCUGGCCUUAAUGUAUAAAUUCAUUCAAAUACUUUUUAAAUAUCUCUGCUAUUAUCUAAGCGUAUAUUUUAUAGUCCACAUUCAAUAAAGAUAUUUGCCUAUAAUUGUUUAUCUGCAUUAAAUCUGAAUCAUCUUUUAGUAUGAGAAUGCUGUUUCCUUCCAUCCAUGAGUUUGGUAUUUCUGCUUCUAGCAGUACUUCAUUAAAUACUUCCAACAUCACUGGGCUUAAUGUCUCUUCUAGUUGUUUAUAAACUUUUGCCAGUAGCCUAUCAGGCCCUGAUGUUUUAUUAUUCUUUUGUCUUUUAAUUAUUCUUCUGUCAAUUCCUUCAUGGUUAUUCAUUCAUUCAACAUAUCUUUAACUGUGUCUAGUACUUUAGGGAGUUCAGAUUGUUCCAAAUAUUGUUGCAUGUUAUUUUACAGAAUGUUCUCCUUAUCAUACAGUUUCUCAUAAUACUAUUUUUAAUGGGUUUUUUUCUCCUCAUUCUGAUAAUAAAGAGUCCCUUUCUCAUUGAUCUCCUCUUCUUUCUUAUAGGGGCAUUGACUUUGAAGGAAAUAUUGUAGGAUAUGCUCCCUUAGGCAGCCUCUGCAUGUCAAAGGAAUCUGUAGCAAUUAUUCAGAUUUGACAUUUCCAGGUCCUGCCUCAAUCAAUGGCAUUUUGGCACAAUACAUUCUAGACAUGUAGAUUGAGCUUUUUGUAUGCCAUGAAAUAUAUCAGAAGGUGACAAUAUAUUAUAUUGUUUCUGGAAGAGUCUAACUGUGCUCUGAUUGGAAAAUAAGCAGGUUACCACAGAUUAAAACACUCCUAAAUAAUGCUUUUGAAUAAUAUUCUUAGCAAACCUAAUGACAAACAUGAAUCACUCUUAUUUUCUUACAAGAAAUUUAGGAUCUAGAUUGCAUAUGAUUGAAUUAAUGUGCAUUGAGAAAAUGGGGGAAUACUAAACCUACUUAAAAAGAAAAAAAACUGCAGCAUUUUAAGACUCUACAAGAAAACUAUAUUCGUUAAGGUGAUACUAUGCAUUUAUUGAGAAACAAAUAACUUAGUUUUUGUUCACGUAGAAAGAAUGGAGAGACAUGGCAAUAAAAAAACUCAUAAAGUUUUGUUUCUUAAGAAGCACAGUUAGGAUUCAAGUAGUAUGAGGUAAUCCUAAACUUGUUUGCUCAAGAAGGUCAUUUUUAUUCAGAAAGCAUAAUUCAUUCUUAAGCCUGUUUAGGGCUUCAGCCUUCAAUAUUGUGAAAAUACUAACUCGCA